UUUCAUUUCAAAUUUCAAAAAACAACUUCCCUUCGCAGCUUCUCUCUCAUUUCUAAAUUUCUUCAUCUUUCUUCUCAACGGCAACUAUCUCCCUCCUCUUCCCCCUCUCUCCGCCUCCCCUUCUCUCUCGAUCUCUUGUCUCCUUCGUCUUCCUCAGAAUCUUCACUCUUCCUUUCUCUCAAUUUCUAUUCUCUAAAAUGAAGCAUCCACCCAAGAAACCCUAUCUUGCUAAAUACCCAUCUCGCCGAUCCACUGCCAUUUUCUAUUCCAUGCGCUAACGGCGCCGGAAUCAAGGGCGGAAGACCCCUCGGAAGCCUAUGUCGUCUUCCAAAGAAAAUGCUUCACCGUCAGAUCCCAAAUUCCCAACUCCAUGGUUCCCGAUUCCAAACCCUCGCCGACUAAGUUGAAGAGCCUGCUCCAUCUUCUAACCCACUUAAGCGGAAGCUCAGUAUGGAGACCGUUCCUGAGAAUUCCAUCCCUGGGUUGUCUGAUUCUGUUGUUAAGAUUAGAGAAGAUGUAAAAUCUGGUGUAGAAAAUUUAACAGAGGAGUGUGUAUCCACAAUGGCAGCCGUUACUCGGCUUCUAAUGAAGUCGAUUAUGGUGGCUCACUUUGGAAACUUGUUACAUAGCUACUGCCAAAAGCUUUAAAUUGCCUUCCGGAUGCACCUCAAAAUCAGCUUCAUUCUUUGUGUUUUCUAAUUUCUAGCUCACUCAAUUCAGCCAUGGAUGUACGGAGAUAUUCCAAAUUUUAUAAUGCAAAACCUGAUGAAGCCGAUGAUGGUGUUUGCACAAGAGCUUGGAGAUUCUUUUUAUCUUACUUCACAAUUGACGUUCUUUCAGUUCUUCCACUCCCCCAGCCAUGCAGGGUUUACAGAAAGAUUUGAACUUUUCAUUUGUGGUCGUGAGCUGGCCAAUGCAUUUUUCGAAUUGAUCGAUCGUAUUUAUCAGGUAAGAGGUGAUUAUAUCAAUCAUUAAUGUUAGAAGGGUGCACAGAUGAUGAAACUUUUUAGCCAAUUUCAUGGCAUUUGAAAGAGAGAAAGUACAUUAGUAUUGAACUCAAGUUAAACUGGAUAGUCUAUCACCUUUUGGAAGAUAACUUUCCUGUACUUUGUUCCAUCUUGUAUAGACCCUUUCAGUCGAAAGGUUACCAAAGGAAUCGUUUUUGUUAUGUGUUAUGUGCUUAACUCCAUAACAAUGUGCGUCCAAGCUCUACAUGAGCAUUCUAUUCUUCUUGCUUGGUAUACUUGUGCAUUAUUGGUUUAUGUGCCAUGUCAAGAAAUAAUAGUUUCUAUUGGAACGUUUUAGUGUUCCGGUUCCAUGAUAAUUGGAAUGGUUGUAAUGAUCUUUUUCUUUUAAAACAAACAAAAUUGGCACAGAGGAUGAUUAGAAGACCAGAUCAGGCAACACAAUGAGAAGCAUGGCUCAGCUGUUUCUUAUGUAUCUCGUUUCUUAUGUAAUGACUCUUUGGACUUCAAUUGCCAAAAAGAUGAGGAUGAUUCUUAUGAAGUGACACUUGAUGAUGAUUUUCUUACUGCUUUGGAAUAUGGAAUGCCACCAGCUUCUGGACUGGUGUUUUAAAGACAACAUCUGGUUUCACAAACUUCUGAUCCUGUUACACCACAAUCUAUGUAGCUGUAGAUCCUCUUAACUCCUGCUCAUCAUCGUCUGGAUAUAUGGUUUACAGUGGUUUGUAUUGAAUUGGUUCUUUAUAUCUUACUUCCUUCUACCAUAUAUACAUAUUAUAUUUUUGUUUAAUGAUUUAUACCAUUUCAAAUACACAUUCAGAAACUAAAACAUAUACCUCUGUA